rnacentral:rRNA from 1 species
UACGGAGGAUGCGAGCGUUAUCCGGAUUUAUUGGGUUUAAAGGGUGCGUAGGCGGUUGCUUAAGUCAGCGGUGAAAGUUUUCGGCUCAACCGGAAAAUUGCCGUUGAAACUGGGCGACUUGAGUGUAAAUGAAGUAGGCGGAAUUCGUGGUGUAGCGGUGAAAUGCAUAGAUAUCACGAAGAACCCCGAUUGCGAAGGCAGCUUACUAAGCUACAACUGACGCUGAAGCACGAAAGCGUGGGUAUCAAACAGG